AAUUUCCAGCGAAGUUUGCCUGAAUUGGACCUCAACCAAGAGAUUGGGGACAAGGAAGGUGAAUCAAGGUUGUUUCCAACCUGGGCCGAGAAGAAUGGAAGCCUUGGAAGGUUGUGGGUGAAAAUUAAGGUGAAGAGGGUUCUUCUAAAAAAAUUAAGAUCAAAGAAGGAAGUUCAAUUUAUCAAGGAUCAAGGUUUGGACUGCUAGACAGCACGUUGCCUUCGGUUUGAGGUAUGGAAGUCUCGUGCUUGCAAUCUGGCCGCUUACGUGUUUAAAUUUCUGGUUUAUCAAUAUGCUCAAGAUUUGGUUAGCAGGUAGUUAUGCUAAUAAAUUAAAGUUCCUUUAAGCAUAUGGUUGGUAGUCUUGGUGCCGUCCAGAUUUGUGUAAAAAUCUAGAGCCAUCUGCAUGGUCCUAUGUUAAUGAGCUGCAAGUAAAACUUCAGUAACAAUGUGUUUUUGUAUUUCUUUCUAGCGUUCAGCUCUUUGUGCUCGAAAUUUGGCGAUCAGGACUUGCCUUUGAUUUUAUUCAGUGCAGCUGAGUUUUGCAUCGAUUUGUUCAUCUUCUUCCAGAUUUCUAUUCCAUUUUUUUUGUUUUAUAUUGUUUUGGGAUAUGUGAAUGUAAUUUUUUGGGUAUUUCUUUGCUUCAAUUCUCUCUAAUUUUUUGCUGUUUAGUUUGAACUCCCAUUGCAGCAUCAUCAUCUGCUCUUGCUGCUGCUGCCUUUGACUGGUAUUUCCCUAUUUGCUGCCCAAACAACAGUUCUUUCAAAUACUACUUGCUCUCAUAUACUACUUCCUUGGAGUACCAUAUACCUAUAUAGUAGUUUGAAAGCUGACCUGGUUUGAAGAAACCUAGCUCAAACAUCCCACCUGGAAAGACAAUGGUUUGAUCGCCAAAGAGAGAUUGGCAUGACAUGAUUAAGCUCUUUGGAAACAGAGUGUUCAAACACUUUUCAAAGUUUGAGUCCCAACAUUUGUUCAAAAUUGUAUUAAAGAUUAGUCAUGCAAAUUUGUAGUAUAUUCUUAUAUCAAAGAUCUUACAAUUUGUUUCCUCACCAAAAAAAAAAAGAAUAAAAAAAGUGAAAUAUUCCUAUUCA